GCUGUGAGAGCAAUGCGCCUUGUCAAAGCCAAAUUGCCUAGAAACAAAUCAACACGAUGAUGAACAAAGUGAUCGGUCCAGCUUCAAGAUGGCAGCCCAGUCUAAGCAUUUGAUAGAAAGUAUGAAGGAAAUCACGUUGUGUCCAGAACCGCGAUUUUUUAACUACUCGAAGUCUGGGCAUAGGCUAGGGCAUCGGAAACAGUUGCGGGCUUUCACGACAGGUCGCAUAAACGCCCACUUAAGCUUGUUCAAAGACUUCUUCGAGGCGUAGCCCAACAUCGGUUUGAGUCGGCUGUGGCAAAUAUGGAGAUGUAGGGAUGGUGAAUAAAGAUCGCUGGUGUACCUGCCAAGGUGACUUCGUUAAUAUCGCUGUCCAAGACGACUAUGCCUCUUCAGAUCCUGGUGAUUAUGUGUACGCAGGCUGUCACUGCUCAUCGGCGUUCGGCGAACUUUCCACAUGCGAAGACUAGCAGAUUACCGAGCAAUAAGCAGGGUUUGUGCUAUUGAAAAACUACCGUAAAACGUAUUGUCGAAAGGGGAAAUCCGGUGCGCUGAUAUUUCGCAAGUUUCACACAAAAUAUUUAUGAAAAAAACAUUGAAAAGAUUGAUCAAGGAUUUCACUUGCAUCUGAAAUGAGGCCAGGAGGACUUCAAACCGGACGACAAUGUCACUAUGGUAGGAGACCAUAUUCAUCCAAAAACUUGGCGUUACGCUUGACAAUGUGACUCAUAUUAAAGCAAUAGCUGCGUGUUUGUUCCUACAAGGUCCAAGUGACUCAAUCAAGUGAGCUAAGCCGCCAUUGGGCCCUUUACCUCGAGAUGACGGAAUGGCAAGCUCUAUCUGACGUGUUGCAAACCUUUCUGUGGACCAAAUCGAGACUAUCAGAUGCAAACGACCAGUUCAUGUGAUAGCUUAGUUUCUUGGUAUACAUAUAUGCUCGAUGGAAGGCAAUGCUGGGAUACACUCACGAUACAUACGUGCACGGGUCGCUGCGACUCACUUGAGUUUGUUGACUGGAGAUUUCCAUAUAAGAGUCUAUAAAUUCUGUUUGUGUACAUAAGGCACGCGAACUUGUCAGAAGACAACCGCGUUUUUGUGACCCUAGAUUCGUGACUACGAAUAUUUUGACGCGCUUUUUUGUACCUGCCAAAUCUACGACUCAACGGACACAUAUUGUGAGGGUU
rnacentral:lncRNA from 11 species